GUAAGUUUUUGAAAGUCCUGUGUGCUCCAACAAUCCCUCUCAAACACUGUGUUUUCUGCUGUUAUUCUCCUCAGCUGUGCAGGUUUCCAACGAGGAGUGUUUCUGAGAAGGUCAGUAGCUGUGGUGAAGGUUCCAGAGGGAAAAAGUGCCCUGCAAGAAUGAAAAAAAGUCAUGAGAAACUUCAGCCUACUUCUGUGAAAGGGUAAUUCUCUGAGGAUAAACAGACCAAGAUGAGAUUCUUCUUGCAAACUCGUACCAAGGCAUGCAAAUAAAAGUUUCCAAAGUGUCCUACACUGGUGGAGCAGCUCUUUGAAGAGACGGCCGUUUGAUACCGCAAACAAGUUUCCAAAGUGUCCUACACUGGUGGAGCAGCUCUUUGAAGAGACGGCCGUUUGAUACAGUACUUACAAGCACUGCUGAAGUCAAACACAAGCCAGGAGCUGUCAGGAAUAAUCCGGAGGAGGAGAAGAGUCUUAUUGGAAAGUGCCUUCUUAUCUGUGUGACUGAAGAACAGAGCGACGCAAGAGACGGCACACAAAAUCAAGUGACUGCAUCCUCUGGUACUUCACAUUAUAAAUUCAACAAAAGGCCACCUCAGCCUUUCCUAAAGAGUCUCUAGCUUAGCUAGAGUGCUCCACUUUCCAAAGGCAAGCUUCAAAGAAGAUUUGGGUGCAUCUCCAGAUGGGAACCUCAGUGUAAACAAGCACUUGUUUCUCUGAUGCUUGGAGUGAAGGCGAUACAGAAGGGGCUGUUUAUGGUAAUGUUAUGUCUAGGUGGUAAAAUAUUCCUCAGUGUACAAAAAUACUAGCUAAUACAUUUCAGGAGGAAAAAUGCCAGCUAUAUUCCAAUGGGAGGGAA
rnacentral:lncRNA from 1 species